rnacentral:rRNA from 1 species
AGCUAUAUAUUAAAGAGAUUUAUUUAUAUAAAUAGGUUUGCUAGCUGAUUGUGUAUAUACGCAGGCCAAUGCUUCUAAUUUCAUAGCAAGUUCGCUUGCUAUGAAAUAGGCAACCUGUAAUAUAAGCAAGUGUGUGCUAUUUAUAGCGCUAGCCUACAAACCUAUAAUUAUAUUAACUCUAAGAGAAAUUUAAUAAUAAACGAAGUGAAUUGAAAUAUCUUAGUAACUUUAGGAAAAGAAAUCAAAAGAGAUUCUAUGAUUAGCGUGAGCUAAAAUAGACUAGCCUAAAAAGUCAAAUGGUGGAUAAACUGUUUAAAUUAAAUGGGGAACCUUCCUCAAAGGCUAAAUAUAAUAUAUAAGCGAUAGUGGAAAGUACCGUGAGGGAACCAAAACAAAAACAGUGAUUUUAUAAGCAGUUCGGGAAAAUAAAAAAAGUUAGAACGUACCUUUUGCAUAAUGGGUCACCAAGUUAACAUUAGAUGCGAGUAGGAGGGAGCUUUAUAAAAAAAAAAUAUAUUUUUUUUUUAUAGCCCCGUGCAUACGUAGUUAAACCGAGCGUUAAAAUAACGGUAAGUAUCUAAAGUUAGACCCGAAGCCUGGUGAUUUUACCAUAAUCAGGAUUAUAAAAGUCCGAACGGAAUAUUGUAGCAUAAAUAUCCGAAGAAUUAUGGUAGGUGUAGUGAAAGACAAUACUGACCAGGAUAGCUGGUUUUCUGCGAAACCUAUAACAGUAGGCAAUUUAAGUAUAAUAUCUUAGCAGGUACAGAAUUUAAUCUCAGACAAGACAUAAGGCUUUACUUGCUAGCAAGUAAAGCUCAUGUUUUAUUUUGUACAAAUUGGGGGAUCAUGAAGAUUUUAUCAGUGAGUAUGUAGACUCGGAAUGGCAAAGAUAUAUCUUAAAUCAUCAGACAUAGAAUGAUAAGGUUGUAUGUCAAAAGGGAAACAGCCCAGAACAAGAGUUAAGGUUCCUAAAUUAUUAGUUGAGUGAAAUUAAGAAGGUUUUUAUUAAAGUCGACAAGGAGAUAGGCUUAGAAGCAGCCAUAAUUUUAUGACCUCGUAACAGAGCGCUUGUUAAGUUUUAAAAGCAUCGAAAAUUUAUCGGAUCUAAACAAUAUACCGAAACCUUGUCCAUAUUAUUUUAUAAUUAAAGCUUAAUUAUAAUUAAAUGGGGUAGCAGAACGUUGAGCUAAAUUAAGAUUUUUAUUUUUUAAAUGAAAUUAUAAUAAUUUAACUCAAGUGAUAAUGGUGACAUGAGUAACUAAAAGAAAAAAUAAAAUUUUUCCGCCUAAAGCUUAUGGAUGUAAUUAAGUAACGGCCUCUAAGUUUAUAUUAUCUAAAGAUUUAAACGAUGAGAUAAUCUUUUGUACUAAGGACGACAUUUUAAGUGAAAAAUGUACUGGAAAAAUAGUACUAAAUUAAUGGCUAUAGCUAAUUAGGGCUAUAGCUAUAAAUGAAAAGUAACCGUACCUAGAAUCUGAAACAAGUAAGCUAGUAGAGAAUACGAAGGCGUAAAUGAGCUAACAAUCAUAAAGGAACUCGGCAAAUUGACUACCGUAACUUCGGGAUAAGGAGAGCUCAUUAUUCUUGAUUAAUAUCAGGUAAAGAGGAAGAAGCAUGAAAUAGUGUUGUACGACUGUUUAAUUAAAACACAGCACUUUGCUGAAAGAUUAAAAAUCUAAGUAUAGAGUGUGAUGUCUGCCCGGUGCCGGCUGGUUAACAGAUAUAAUUAAAUAUACUAAUAUUUGAUGUAGACGGAAACCCCGGUUAAAGGCGGCCUUAACGUGAGGGUCCUAAGGUAGCGAAAUGCCUUGGCCGUUAAAUGCGGUCUUGCAUGAAUGAUGUAACGAUACAACAGCUGUCUCUAUGAUUGACUCAGUGAAAUUGGAAUAGCUGUGCAGAUACAGUUUACCUCUAGUUAGACGAGAAGACCCUAUGCAGCUUUACUGUCACUAAUUAUAGAGUAUGAUAAACAAUUUUCAGAUUAUAAGGUAAUUGACGGCUAGCUUGUUCUGCAAGCUAGCUCUAUGACAAUGAGAAUCCUUUAUUUUUUUUUCAUAUGAAUGAAUUGGUUUAGGAUUAUGAGUAGGUAGCUGCUUCUGCUACUUGGCGCAAGCAUUGCUUGCGUCAGGUGUCUGAAGUAUGCAUUCCAGCUCAUGCAUAGUAAAUCAACCUAAUUCAGCUUAUUUUCCUUUCUGCCAUAAGCGCAUAAUGAUAGAUUUAACUUAAAUUUUGAUUUAUGCCGAGCCCCUCCGGGGCUACUGCAGAAAUAGAUAAGUACCCUUGGCUAAGGAACUAUCGCUAGGGGACAGUUUAUGUGGGGCACAGACCCUGUAAAGAGUAAACAGGAGUGUCUAAUAAUUUAUAAUUAUUUUGUUUGCGAUUUAAGAUAGUGAAACUAUUUUUAAUCAUAUAAAAUUAUUUAUAUGUACAUUCGUUGUAUAUAUAUUUAAAAAAAGGUAGGAUUUUCACUAUAUAGAAAUUAGAGAUAAUAAAAAUAUUAAGAAUAUACUGAAAGGUAGCACUAAUAUUUUUUAGCUAUUAAGACAAGCUAUCAAGCUAGGCUCUAAUAGUUAUGUAUUAAUUAUCUAAAAAGCUCAACGGCUAAAUCUUGCCUUACUGUUUGAUUAUCAACAAAUCUUACAGUUGCGUAAGCAGGGCAUAGGAUCACAAGAUGCAACAAGGAAAGAUCUUGGAUUAUUGGAAAAGCUACGCUAGGGAUAACAGGCUAAUUUGCGCAAGAGUGUACAAAAUGAGUGCGCGGUUUGGCACCUCGAUGUCGGCUUAACUUAUCCUCAUGGAUGCAGGAACUAUGUAGGGUGCGACUGUUCGUCGAUUAAAAAGUUACAUGAGCUGGGUUAAAUACGUCGUGAGACAGUAUGGUUUCUAUCUUCUAGGGGGAAUUAGAAUAUAAUAAGAACUAACUUUUGUACGAAAGGAACAAGAAGAAUUUAAUUUGUAAAAGGGUUAAAUAAUAGUUACUAACCUAUGGUUUACCUGUUGUCUAUGUGCCCAAAUAUUAAAAUAUAUAUAGAGGAAGCUCAUUAAGAGCUUUCCCGCAAAUUAUAUAUAUCUGUAUAGCUAGCCUGCGGACUUCGGUUAUGCCUGAGUUUGGCAAGCUAAAGCUAUACAUAGGGAUGUUUCUUUCACUAAGAUAAAUAUAUAGCAUAGGCACGGCAGGAAAGCUAAGUUGGUUAAGGAUAAGUGCUGAAAGCAUAUAGGCACGAAGCUUAUCUUAAGAUAUUUCUUAAAUAUACGUAAAAUAUUAUUACGAAGGAUGUAAUAUAGGCUUUAUCCGUACGAAUCAGGAGAUUUUUAAGAAUAAAGUACUAAUUUUAUAAAUAACUAUUUAU